AGCAGUAUCGCUUUGCUUCCAUGGCUGCACAGCUUUCCUCCACAGGCAUUUCCCACCACAGUCUCCUCCCUCACUUCCUUUUGAUCCGUCUCUCCACAGUCAACAGCAGCCCUCGCCCUGGGAUGGCUCCACAAUCCCCAAACUCUGCGUCCCUGUCCGGGGUAGGUAUGGCUGUGGCAAGGACUGCCUGAUUCUCAUUCUCUUUAGGCUGCCACAGAUCAGCUGUUUCACUCAGCCUUAAAUGUUUCUCCUCUGACUUAAGUGAUUGUCCCAAUGUGGGAAUCCGACCCCUGCUUCAGUUCCCUGACCCACUGAGAGCAGGUCCAGUCCUAUUAACACUCCUAUUUCUCCCCCGAGUUCCUUCGUGCUACCAAGUUUUGCGUGGUUCAAUAUAUUCUUUUCCUCUGGUCAGGUACUCCUGUCCGCUCUCAGCUGGUGUUCUCUACAUUAUUUUUUACUUAUUGUCACAAUGACCUUGUGAAGAGAGGUAUUAAUGUUAUACUCCCAUUUAACUAAAGAGGAGAUUGACACUCGGGCUUCCUGGAGUCUUUAACUCUGAGCCCAGACUCUUGAAGUCUUCUGAUUCAAAUCCAAAGUCCAAACAUUCAUUUCCUUCCUCAAUUUUGUGAUACUGAUAUCAAACAGGGCCAUUCUAUCUAGUCAGUUAAAUAUGUACUUGAUGGGCACAAUAAAAUGUAAUCAUUGCUUAACAUGUUUGAGAGAUUUUAUCUGAUCUUUAGUAAGGCAAACCCAUUUAGGCAUACAGAAACAAAGUGCAGAAAGUUUUCCAUUUCUCAGAGAUUAGAAAAAAGUUUUACAUGUUUUCUGUGUUCUUCAUCUUUAUUAUUUCUCUCUUUUCUUGAGUUUCCCUGGUGGCUCAGAUGGUAAAGAGUCUGCCUGCAAUGCUGGAGAUCUGGGUUUGAUCCCUGGGUUGGGAAGCUCUUUUGGAGAAGGAAAUGGCAACCCACUCCAGUAUUCUUGCCUGAAGAAUGCCAUGGACAGAAGAGCCUGGCAAGCCCCAGUCCAUGGGGUUGCAAAGAGUUGGACACGACUGAGUGAGUAACACUCAUCUUUUCUCAUGGUAGUGAUAGUUAAGAGUCUUUAACUUAAAGUAGGUGAAAAGAAUGGAAAAGUGGAUAAAAAUCUGUGAUGGGGGAGACUGGGUUUGGGGUCAUCUAUAAAUCUUGUCAUAUAUAAUAUAUAACCUGUUGCAUGGUUUAAUUCAAAGCACAGAAUUUUAGAACUGGAUGGUAUUUUAAAGCUCAUCUUCUGGAACAUUCUUAAUAUAUAACAAAGAGGCUAAAGCCACAAUGGGUUCAGUGACUUUCCUCGGGUCACUCUGUUACAGGGAAGAACUGACUCCUUGUUGAAUCUGUUUCUUUUACUUUAACCUUUGCUUCUCCUUGCUUUUGUUUACUAAAAGGAUAUUGUCCAUACAUAAAGGCCUGCCUCAGGGAACCCUGCUUCUCUGUCUGAAUGUUAAACCAAAAUGCCUUUGUUCAGGACCCUGUCCACUUCUAGGUGGCUACAGGAAGGACAAAAUUAACACAUCCCCUCCCCAAGACUAGCCAUUCCAGGAGAUAUUUGUAAGAUUAAUGCCCCUUUCUACUUUACCUCACCUCUCCCCCUCUCUGUUCUAGGAAGGAUCCUGGCAUCCAGACCCUGAUAAGAUGGUUAUUUUGAGACCAUUAGUCUACCAUCUUCUCAAUCAGCUAGCUUUCUGAAUAAAUUCAUAUUCCGUGCCUCAGCACCUUGUCUCUUGGAUGUUAUUGGCCUGUGUGGGGCAAGUAGAGCAAGCUUGGAGUUGGCAAACAAUCUCAACUGCUUUGAUAUCAAGUCAUGAUUUGAAUUCAGAUCUUUGGCAGUGAUCAAGACCAUACCCAAGAAAAAGAAAUGCAAAAAGGCAAAAUGGUCGAUCACCAUUAUGGACCACCAUACCAUUUUCCUUAGGGGCCAUACCAUUUUAUAUUCCAGCAAUGACGCACAAGGGUUCCAAGUUCUCUACAUCUUUGCCAACUCUUGUUAUCUUCUGAUUUUCUUUUUUUUUUUUUUUUUAGACUGUAGCCAUCCUAAUGGGCAUGAAGUGGUAACCCAUUGUGGUUUUGAUCAGUACUUCCAUAAUAACUAAUUGUAAGCAUCCUUUCACUUGCUUGUUGGCCUUUUGUACAUCUUCUUUGAAGAAAUAUCUAUUCAAGUCCUUUGCCCAUUUUUAAAACAGUUUGUUUUUUGUGGUUAA